rnacentral:rRNA from 1 species
GAUGAACGCUAGCGGCAGGCCUAAUACAUGCAAGUCGAGGGGUAGAGUUAGCUUGCUAACUUGAGACCGGCGCACGGGUGCGUAACGCGUAUGCAACCUACCUUUAUCUGGGGGAUAGCCCGAAGAAAUUCGGAUUAACACCGCAUAAAAUCACAGUAUCGCAUGAUACAAUGAUCAAAUAUUUAUAGGAUAAAGAUGGGCAUGCGUGUCAUUAGUUAGUUGGCGGGGUAACGGCCCACCAAGACCACGAUGACUAGGGGAUCUGAGAGGAUGACCCCCCACACUGGUACUGAGACACGGACCAGACUCCUACGGGAGGCAGCAGUAAGGAAUAUUGGUCAAUGGAGGCAACUCUGAACCAGCCAUGCCGCGUGCAGGAAGACGGCCCUCUGGGUUGUAAACUGCUUUUAUUCGGGAAUAAACCUAUCUACGUGUAGAUAGCUGAAUGUACCGAAGGAAUAAGGAUCGGCUAACUCCGUGCCAGCAGCCGCGGUAAA